rnacentral:rRNA from 1 species
UACGAAGGGUGCGAGCGUUACUCGGAAUUACUGGGCGUAAAGCGUGCGUAGGUGGUUCGUUAAGUCUGAUGUGAAAGCCCUGGGCUCAACCUGGGAACGGCAUUGGAUACUGGCGAACUCGAGUGUGGUAGAGGAUAGCGGAAUUCCCGGUGUAGCAGUGAAAUGCGUAGAGAUCGGGAGGAACAUCUGUGGCGAAGGCGGCUAUCUGGACCAACACUGACACUGAGGCACGAAAGCGUGGGGAGCAAACAGG